rnacentral:tRNA from 3 species
GUCGAUUUAGUUUAGUUGGUAAAAUAGGUAACUUGUAAUUACUUGUCACUAGUUCGAUCCUAGUAGUCGGCA